rnacentral:lncRNA from 1 species
CUAGGUAAGCAAUGGUCUAAUAUGAAUGAAGAGAAGGAUUCAAAUGUUAUCAUUUCAAGGUGGUUAUCACUCAAAAACAAGGAGCUUGAUCAUUAUGAAAAAUUUAUCUAAGACUAGAAGCAAUUCAUGCAUACAUAGAUCCAUUUUCAUCAUUCUACCCUUUUCCUAAGUGAUUACAAGUUCUACCCUUUUCAUCCCCAUCUUAAAGCCAAAAUAACACCCACUCACAUCACUAACCCAAUGAACAACUCUCUUUUUCAUUUGAUUCAUCCAACUAGGGACUUUAAUUCACUUUUUACAACACUUAGCUCUAAGUCUUUCUCAUUUCCCUUCCCGCCUUCUCUUUGAUUUUUUUUAUUUUUUUAUAAGGGGGAAGGUUCUUUUGUACACAAUCUAGAGCUUCAUACUUUUCUUCUGUCCCUAGAGUUUUUAUUUUCUAAUGACACUCUUUUGUUCAUCUUUCUCAUCUUUCUCACUCUCCAAACCCAAGAUAUUAACAUUUAGAACACACAAACCCUCUCACCACCCCCAAAUGCUAGCUCAUUAUGCUAGCAAGAGAUGAGAAGAAAUCUAUGUCACCACCCCCAAAAGUGGCCUCACUCAUGCAAAUCAAUGUUUGGUCUCAAAGAAUGGCUAGGGUUGUAGGGUAUGGAGUACCAUUUGGGUUAACAAAGAGUGGUAUAAUGGAAUAAGAUAACCCAAAUGUGUAUGAGAUCCAUGAUCAAGUAUGCAAGUGCCCAUAUGCAAGAGAGAUUAAGUUCAUUCAAGCCAAGUUCAGUUUGGAGCUGAUUUUAAGAACAAUGCCAAUGUCAAGCAAGCAAACAAGUUUCAAGAUGAGUUUUCAAGGCUCGAAGCAUGCAAGGCUUUUUAGAGAUGCUUAAGCUACUUGAUAUGUUUAACUAGGGUGUCACUUUGAGUUCUAGACAAGACUUCUUUACAAGGCAUUUUAAAUCAUUGCUCCCUAUGCAAGUGAAUGCAACCUAUAUGCUCUAGACUCAAUCCUAAAAGUGCAAGUGAUGCAACUACAUUCUACUUUUUGUUUUUUUUUUUCAAAUUUUUCAAUUUCUUUUUUGUUUUUUCAAUGCAUAUAUGUAUGUACAAUGCAAUGCAUGAGACUCAAAUCAUCAAAGAAAACAUGAUCAAAUACUUAGUACCUCCCCCAAACUUAGUUCACACAGUCUCUGUGUUAGGAAGUUCAAGGAGAUACUGAAAAGAGUGAUAAAUGCAAAGAAAAACCCGUAUAUACAAUGGAAAGGUGGUGGAGUAUCUCACUAUGGAGCGUGGUAAGAGGCCGUUGGCUCAUCCUCGUUGUUGGAAUCGAUCAACACUUUCUCAGGACCAACAAGCGACAACUGAGGUCCUAGAUAUGGCUAGUCUAAAUAUACGGAAGUUGAUUGACUAUACUUAUUUGUUUGAGUUCUAGAAUAUCCAUAUAUGCUUAGUAGUCUAUGUCUCUAUAAUCCUAAUUGUCUGAAUAGAAAUCUUAAGUGUAACGUCUCCCAUAUCUGUCUUAAAACCCAAUCAAUCAAUCGAACAUUUACUUGUUCACCC